CCAUUGUACAUGAUAUUGCAGAAGGUAUUUUUGUAAUAAGUGUUCUUAUUCAAUUUAAUUUAUUUAUUUUUAAUUAUAAAGUAUCGUUUUAUUUGGGAACGACUGUAAUCAUGAAAGCAAACAUAUAAAAUAUGGAAUUUUAAAAUGGACAAAUGAAUCUUCUGAAAAAAAAAAAAGUUUUAGGUGAAUUGGCGAAACAUAUAAAAAAUAGUAUUUAUUGGUGCAUGAUGUUUGUGAAUGAUAUUGUUUUGAUAAAUGAGACGCGAGAAUGAGUCAAUAAAAAGCUAGAGGUUUGGAGAAGUACUCUAGAGUCACG
rnacentral:misc_RNA from 1 species